CCCUUAGACGUUCUGGGCCGCGCGCGCGCUACACUGACCAGUGCAACAAGCAUCCGUCCUUGGCCGACAGGCCCGGGCAAUCUUUGAACGCUGGUCGUGAUGGGGAUAGACUUUUGCAAUUUUUGGUCUUCAACGAGGAAUUCCUAGUAAACGCAAGUCAUCAACUUGCAUUGAUUACGUCCCUGCCCUUUGUACACACCGCCCGUCGCACCUACCGAUUGAAUGGUCCGGUGAAGCCUCCGGAUUGGCGCGCACCUCGGUGCCGCCGAGAAGUUGGCUAAACCUUACCAUUUAGAGGAAGGUGAAGUCGUAACA
rnacentral:rRNA from 1 species